UGGCAGUGAGGGGAUGCUGCAGCACAGCCCGGACCACAACUGGAGCUGUGCCGUGCUGGUCUGUGACAGACGCCAACGCUCCGGCGAGCAGCGACAGCCUCGGGGAGAGCCGUGGAGCCCAUGUGAGUGCCAGGGCAGGGCGGGGGUGCCAGGGGAUCCCUGUGCCAGGGCAGGG
rnacentral:lncRNA from 1 species